rnacentral:rRNA from 1 species
UACGUAGGGUGCAAGCGUUAAUCGGAAUUACUGGGCGUAAAGCGUGCGCAGGCGGUGAUGUAAGACAGAUGUGAAAUCCCCGGGCUCAACCUGGGAACUGCAUUUGUGACUGCAUCGCUGGAGUACGGCAGAGGGGGAUGGAAUUCCGCGUGUAGCAGUGAAAUGCGUAGAUAUGCGGAGGAACACCGAUGGCGAAGGCAAUCCCCUGGGCCUGUACUGACGCUCAUGCACGAAGCGUGGGGAGCAAACAGG